GGCUUUAUAGUCAAUAAUGAUAUUAGACUGCAAUUCUAAAGGAGUAUUCAAUUUACUAAGGCUU
rnacentral:tRNA from 1 species